rnacentral:rRNA from 1 species
AGACAGAGGGUGCAAACGUUGUUCGGAAUUACUGGGCGUAAAGCGCGUGUAGGCGGCUGUGCAAGUCGGAUGUGAAAGCCCUUGGCUCAACUGAGGAAGAGCAUUCGAAACUGCGCAGCUUGAGUUCUGGAGAGGAUGGUGGAAUUCUCGGUGUAGAGGUGAAAUUCGUAGAUAUCGAGAGGAACACCAGUGGCGAAGGCGGCCAUCUGGACAGAAACUGACGCUGAGACGCGAAAGCGUGGGUAGC